CGCCUCUUGCAAAAUCAAUGAAUAAGAGGUCCCGCCUGCCCUGUGACUAUAUGUUUAACGGCCGCGGUAUUUUGACCGUGCGAAGGUAGCGCAAUCACUUGUCUUUUAAAUGGAGACCUGUAUGAAUGGCAUCACGAGGGCUUAACUGUCUCCCUCUCCCAGUCAAUGAAAUUGAUCUCCCCGUGCAGAAGCGGGGAUAACAACAUAAGACGAGAAGACCCUAUGGAGCUUAAGGCGCCAGGACAGCUCACGUUAAACACCCCUUCAUUAAAGGAGAAAACCAAGUGAAUCCUGCCCUAGUGUCUUUGGUUGGGGCGACCGCGGGGAAAAACAAAACCCCCAUGUGGAGUAGGAACACUAUGUUCCUAGAUCUAAGAGCUCCCGCUCUAAUAAACAGAACUUCUGACCAACAAGAUCCGGCAAUGCCGAUCAACGGACCGAGUUACCCUAGGGAUAACAGCGCAAUCCUCUUAAAGAGCCCUUAUCGACAAGGGGGUUUACGACCUCGAUGUUGGAUCAGGACAUCCUAAUGGUGCAGCCGCUAUUAAGGGU
rnacentral:rRNA from 1 species